rnacentral:lncRNA from 1 species
UUGUAAUUCAUUAAUUUAAGGUAUAAGCGUAUAUCAUGAAACGUGUAACAGAUUUCCCAUACUUGUCUGUAUACUUGUACAUGAAAUUCUUAGGGUGUUUUAAAUGAAAAUACAUGCUUCAUCAGGUUUGCAUUAUAAUCCUGAUUACUCCGCUACAUAUUAAAGAAUUUAGGAAAGUACUUGCUUAUUUCUUCGAUCCUGCAAAUUGUAAUGAAUUGUCAUCGAUAUUUUUAUUCAGCUGAUCUGAGAAGGUCCACUUCUUGUUCAAUGGAUGAUGGCAUUUGAGCAGAUACCCAAAAAGGAUUGGUACAGCAUUCUGGGGGCAGACCCAUCUGCAAGUGUGUCAGACCUAAAACAAAAGUAUCAAAAACUCGUAUUAAUGGAUGGAGAAAAUACUAAGUAGUCCUACUUCCCGACAUGAAAUUUGGAUAUUACCCAAUCUCUUGGAAAAGCUGACAAAUCUGCCCCCCAGGAGCUGGUGAAACUUGGUGAGAACCCAGAAAGCCAGAUCUGCGGGCGACCUCCAGCUUGGGGCAAUGGUUCCUGAGGCUUUUCCUGAUGUUGAGACUUUGUUUCUUUUCCUUUAAAGCCGGAUCGAUGAAACAGCAUAUGAAAGCACUUUGUAACCUUUGUAACCUACAAAGUACCGGAGACGUGCUAUGUUAGGUUUUAGUACAAUUAUUGGAUUUCCCACUGGUGUGGCACCGUUUUACAAUUCUGAUCAAACUGGAAAAUUGCCUUCCAAAUUAAUAAUUAUUAACUUG